AACGAACGCUGGCGGCAGGCCUAACACAUGCAAGUCGAACGCCCUAGCAAUAGGGAGUGGCAGACGGGUGAGUAACGCGUGGGCACCUUCCCAUUGGUACGGAAUAGCCCAGGGAAACUUGGAGUAAUACCGUAUAAGCCCGAAAGGGGAAAGAUUUAUCGCCGAUGGAUGGGCCCGCGUAGGAUUAGCUAGUUGGUGAGGUAAUGGCUCACCAAGGCGACGAUCCUUAGCUGGUCUGAGAGGACGAUCAGCCACACUGGGACUGAGACACGGCCCAGACUCCUACGGGAGGCAGCAGUGGGGAAUAUUGGACAAUGGGCGCAAGCCUGAUCCAGCCAUGCCGCGUGAGUGACGAAGGCCUUAGGGUUGUAAAGCUCUUUUGGCGGGGACGAUAAUGACGGUACCCGCAGAAUAAGCCCCGGCUAACUUCGUGCCAGCAGCAGCCGCAGUAA
rnacentral:rRNA from 1 species